AAAAAAUAUAGCACAACUUACUACGCCGGUGAUUCGCCGUCGCCGAUGUGUUGUUUUGUUGCCUAACAAACAACAAAAAUCGAUUACGCCAUUGACGAUGUGUUGUUGCCUGAUAGAGUAAAUCAAUUACGCCGCCACAAAAUUCUGAAAAUCUGAUAGUGGAGAGGAGAAAUUCGAAUUGCAAAAACCCCAAGCCCUAAUUGUAGCCAAGUUUGUGAGACGUGAGUGUGUGAGUA
rnacentral:lncRNA from 1 species